rnacentral:rRNA from 1 species
UACGUAGGGUGCAAGCGUUGUCCGGAAUUAUUGGGCGUAAAGAGCUCGUAGGCGGUCUGUCGCGUCGGCUGUGAAAACUCGGGGCUCAACUCCGAGCUUGCAGUCGAUACGGGCAGGCUAGAGUUCGGCAGGGGAGACUGGAAUUCCUGGUGUAGCGGUGAAAUGCGUAGAUAUCGGGAGGAACACCUGUGGCGAAAGCGGCUCACUGGACCGCAACUGACGCUGAGGCGCGAAAGCUAGGGGAGCAAACAGG